ACAACGAUGGCAAAUAUUUGUUUUCAUCAGAAGUAUAUUUUCAUGAGAUACAAUGGCAAUCAGGCGGCACAUGCAGAAGAGUUGUGGAAGGUUGAUUGAGAAGUCAUAAGGACUGGGUGAAGCAAAAUGCAAUCUCCAAGUUUCAGGUUUCAAAAUGAGAAAUUGGAGCAUUGAGACCUUUGAACUGAAACCUAAAUAAAGAAUUGUGCAUGCAUCCAACAGAGAAAGGUGCGUACAUAUCCUGAGGGACAAUAAAAAAUGUGAGUUCUUUAUGGCAUAGUAUCAGGCACCGUUCUGAGUGAUCUCUUUGCAACUCAAGAUACCGAUUAGUUAUAUUAUUUCCUACCUGUAACCAAUUUCUGCACACCAAAACACAGAGUCAAGUCAGAUCUAUAGGAGGAUAAGUAUUCUUGGUGUGAUUACUAAUGAGACAAUGUAAGGAAUUGUUUCUAGAACUCAAUUUUAUUAUAAGUUCAAUAUCAGCACCACACAAUCUUUCUACUACCAUUCCUAGACAAAUAUCAACCCGUUACACAAGACAAUGCAAGAAAACAUAUGUCACACAGGACUAU